rnacentral:rRNA from 1 species
UACGUAGGUGGCAAGCGUUGUCCGGAUUCACUGGGCGUAAAGCGCGCGCAGGCGGUCUUCUACGUCUGGGGUGAAAACCCGGGGCUCAACCCCGGGACUGCCUUGGAUACGGGGAAGACUUGAGGAUCGGAGAGGCAAGGGGAAUUCCACGUGUAGCGGUGAAAUGCGUAGAGAUGUGGAGGAACACCUGUGGCGAAGGCGCCUUGCUGGCCGAUUUCUGACGCUGAGGCGCGAAAGCGUGGGGAGCAAACAGG